rnacentral:sRNA from 1 species
UAAGGAUCCUGGACGCACUGGUCCC